UAUUAAAUGAAACAAAAACUCUUAAAUCUUAAUUGUUUCUAUAGCUACAUAAUGGAAGCUAUGGGUACAAAAUAAUAACAAAAUAGAUACAAACAUCCAGCAUUUGAAUUGGGAAAAUGUAAUUACUCAGAGUAAUUGUCGUACCACCAACCAUAGCUUCACCUAAUCCACAACUGGCCUUCGCACAGCACAGCACAGCACAUAAGUAUAAUAGAUAACAGACUCAACAAUAGCACGAGAUCUUCUUGCGGGAUCGCCGAUCUUAAAAACACCAGAGCCAACAAAAGACACAUCACAGCAGAGCUUCAUCAUCGUAGUAGCAUCAGCAAGCCUGGGUAGCUACUCCUCCUGCUGCGAAUUGGAAGACAGAAAGCCUUCCUAACAACGGUUGUCGGAGAAUAGGCCAUGGACGGCGACCGUCGUCUCUUUCCUCCAGUGGAGGCGUCCUCACUGAUAUGGUUGGUGCUGGUUUAUUGGUAGAGCUAGUCAAUUAUACGGUGGUUGUGUUGUUGGUGGGUCUAGAUAAAAUCUUAAAGAAGGAAACUUUCUCAUAGGGGUAAAAUGGGACUGAAGUUAUAAUGAGAAUUACAAGUCCAGUUACACAAGCUAUUCAUGUACAAAUAAUGAAUUAGAUAAUUUGUACUGCUUAUAUUACCUACAAGUGAGCUCUUUACUGUCGAUUUUACUACUAACUCUGUUCAUCUCUUGGUAUUAGAGACAGAAAGCAGGAGAUCCAGGUUAUUCAAUUCAACUUAUCAGUAAUUCACUGUUGGUCUUUCGAUCGGUCUUGCAUGUGUCCUUGAUUGUUGCGUUUCACCUCGCAUAUACAUAAUUUUAGAAUAUUCAAAGAGCAAUAUAAUUUUGAAUUGAAAACGUAAAAGCAGUGUAUGCAGUUUCAGUCAUAGUCACCGUUUUCCUUAUCGGAAGUCUGCUUCUUUUCUCUGUUCCGUGUGUAUCCAUUCUGCUUAUCGUGAUGACUCUCACCGUUUUCUCU